GCGGGAGCGGGCUGAGGGGAAAUUCUGAGGGAGAGGUGUGGAAAAGCUGAGGGGAAUUUCUGAGGAAAAGGUGAGAGUGAGUUGAGGGAACUGGGGCUUAAGGCUGGGGAAGUUCUGAGGGACAGGCAGGAGUGAGCUGAGGGAAUUUGUGAGGGACAGGUAGUAAGGAGCUGAGGGAGUUUCUGAGGGGGAUAGGCAGCAAGGAGUUGAGGGGAGAUUCUGAGGAAAAGGCGGGAGCAGGCUGAGGGGAAAUUCUGAGGAAAAGGCGGGAGCGGGCUGAGGGGAAAUUCUGAGGGAGAGGUGUGAAAAAGCUGAGGGGAAUUUCGGAGGAAUAUGUGGGGCUUAAGCCCGGGGAAGUUCUGAGGGGCAGGUGGGAGUGAGCUGAGGGAAUUUGUGAGGCACAGGUCGUAAGGAGCUGAGGGAGUUUCUGAGGGAUAGGCAGCAAGGAGUUGAGGGGAGAUUCUGAGGGAAAAUUGGGAGCAAGCUGAGGAGAAGUUCUGAGGGACAGGUGUGGAAAAGCUGAGGGGAAUUUCUGAGGAAAAGGCCUCCUGUUACAAGGGCAGAGAUGAUUUGCGUUGGAGGCACUGGGAGACUGGAAAGGCUUCGGAGAAGAACAAGAAGAAGCUGUCUUGCUAUGCCUAAACUAGUCCUGCAUAAAUGCAUGUGUGUGAACCUCCAUGGUCGUUCAUGGCAUCUCUCAGGAGCAGACCCAGUUGUGAUUCCUCAUUCCGGUACGUAGUGUGUGCUACUGAGGAAGUGCAAGGCACCACUGUGAGGAGUGUCCCCACCUGUUGGACCAGCAAGGGCAGCUCUGCAG